rnacentral:rRNA from 1 species
UACGUAGGGUGCGAGCGUUAAUCGGAAUUACUGGGCGUAAAGCGUGCGCAGGCGGUAAGUUAAGUCUGAUGUGAAAGCCCCGGGCUCAACCUGGGAAUGGCAUUGGAAACUGGCUCGCUGGAGUGUGGCAGAGGGGGGGUGGAAUUCCGCGUGUAGCAGUGAAAUGCGUAGAGAUGCGGAGGAACACCGAUGGCGAAGGCAGCCCCCCUGGGCUAACACUGACGCUCAGGCACGAAAGCGUGGGGAGCAAACAGG